CCUUGAAGGAUCUAGCCUAACUUCUAGUUUUUCUUUGGUAUCUAGAGAUUCAAUUCUCUAGUGAGUUGAAGGUAGCAAGCUGAAAAAUCUGUUUUGCGGACCAAAAAUUUGGGGCGAUUUCAUUUCGGUGGUAAUUGGGAUUUUCAUUCCAAUUGAGGUACAGGACUCAGGAUUUGAAGAUUCCAUUGCUCCUUGGAUGGCUUACAGUUUCUAAGUUUCUAUUUUAUGCAAGUGUUAGCAUAAGAUGCCUCUUUGU